rnacentral:rRNA from 1 species
UACGGGGGGGGCAAGCGUUGUUCGGAAUUACUGGGCGUAAAGGGCGCGUAGGCGGUUUGCUAAGUUGGAUGUGAAAACUCUGGGCUUAACCCAGAGCCUGCAUCCAAAACUGGCAAACUUGAGUACUGGAGGGGAAAGCGGAAUUCCUGGUGUAGCGGUGAAAUGCGUAGAUAUCAGGAGGAACACCGGUGGCGAAGGCGGCCUUCUGGACAGUAACUGACGCUGAGGCGCGAAAGCUAGGGGAGCAAACAGG